AUGAACGCUGGCGGCGUGCUUAACACAUGCAAGUCGAACGAAGCUCUUGAACGGAGGAUUCGUCUGAAGUGAGAAGAUGACUAGUGGCGGACGGGUGAGGUAACGCGUGGGGAAUCUGCCCCGUACCGGGGGAUAACACUUAGAAAUAGGUGCUAAUACCGCAUAAGCGCACGGUGUCGCAUGACACAGUGUGAAAAAACUCCGGUGGUACGGGAUGAUCCCGCGUCUGAUUAGCCAGUUGGCAGGGUAACGGCCUACCAAAGCGACGAUCAGUAGCCGGCCUGAGAGGGCAAACGGCCACAUUGGGACUGAGACACGGCCCAAACUCCUACGGGAGGCAGCAGUGGGGAAUAUUGCACAAUGGGGGAAACCCUGAUGCAAGCGACGCCGCGUGAGUGAAGAAGUAUUUCGGUAUGUAAAGCUCUAUCAGCAGGAAAGAAAAUGACGGUACCUGACUAAGAAGCCCCGGCUAACUACGUGCCAGCAGCCGC
rnacentral:rRNA from 1 species